UUCGCAUGGAGCAGUGUGAAAAGCGUAAACGGUAUACGAUGGACCCGCGUCUGAUUAGCUAGUUGGCGGGGUAGAGGCCCACCAAGGCGACGAUCAGUAGCCGGCCUGAGAGGGUGACCGGCCACAUUGGGACUGAGACACGGCCCAAACUCCUACGGGAGGCAGCAGUGGGGAAUAUUGCACAAUGGGGGGAACCCUGAUGCGGCGACGCCGCGUGAGUGAAGAAGUAUUUCGGUAUGUAAAGCUCUAUCAGCAGGGAAGAAAAUGACGGUACCUGACUAAGAAGCCCCGGCUAACUACGUGCCAGCAGCCGCGGUAAUACGUAGGGGGCAAGCGUUAUCCGGAUUUACUGGGUGUAAAGGGAGCGUAGACGGUUAUGCAAGUCUGAAGUGAAAGCCCAAGGCUCAACCAUGGGACUGCUUUGGAAACUGUAAAACUGGAGUGCAGGAGAGGUAAGCGGAAUUCCUAGUGUAGCGGUGAAAUGCGUAGAUAUUAGGAGGAACACCAGUGGCGAAGGCGGCUUACUGGACUGUAACUGACGUUGAGGCUCGAAGGCGUGGGGAGCAAACAGGAUUAGAUACCCUGGUAGUCCACGCGGUAAACGAUGAUCACUAGGUGUCGGUGGGUAGAGACCCAUCGGUGCCGCCGCAAACGC
rnacentral:rRNA from 1 species